GAUGAACGCUGACAGAAUGCUUAACACAUGCAAGUCUACUUGAACUUCGGUUUGGGUGGCGGACGGGUGAGUAACGCGUAAAGAACUUGCCUCACAGUUAGGGACAACAUUUGGAAACGAAUGCUAAUACCUGAUAUUAUGAUUUUAGGGCAUCCUAGGAUUAUGAAAGCUAUAUGUGCUGUGAGAGAGCUUUGCGUCCCAUUAGCUAGUUGGAGAGGUAACGGCUCACCAAGGCGAUGAUGGGUAGCCGGCCUGAGAGGGUGAACGGCCACAAGGGGACUGGGACACGGCCCUUACUCCUACGGGAGGCAGCAGUGGGGAAUAUUGGACAAUGGACCAAAAGUCUGAUCCAGCAAUUCUGUGUGCACGAUGACGUUUUUCGGAAUGUAAAGUGCUUUCAGUUGGGAAGAAAAAAAUGACGGUACCAACAGAAGAAGUGACGGCUAAAUACGUG
rnacentral:rRNA from 1 species